GAUGAACGCUGGCGGCGUGCCUAAUACAUGCAAGUCGAGCGAGAAUCUGAUGAUUGGAGAUUCGUCAAAAUGAUUCAGAGGAAAGCGGCGGACGGGUGAGUAACGCGUAGGCAACCUGCCCUUAGCAGAGGGAUAGCCAUUGGAAACGAUGAUUAAAACCUCAUAAUGCUGUGAAGUCACAUGUCAUUGCAGCCAAAGAUUUAUCGGCUAAGGAUGGGCCUGCGUCUGAUUAACUAGUUGGUGAGGUAACGGCUCACCAAGGUGACGAUCAGUAGCCGACCUGAGAGGGUGAUCGGCCACAUUGGAACUGAGACACGGUCCAAACUUC
rnacentral:rRNA from 1 species